CGGUCCAAUUCUUGACCCAACCGUACGAGACUCCCUCUACUUCAACACGGGCAAGGAGAAUGUGGUUUAUUCCGAACACGACGAAUGAUUUCUCGGCCCCGGUCUUCCGCGAACCGCCACAUCAGUUCUGUUUCUUCAUCUCGCGUCGCCUUCACUGUUAUUGAUAACGAGGAAGCCUAUGCCUCGUGAUGGGGCAUGAAAAUGGAAUCGUGAAUCAUUGUGUUAUUCUUCAAGAAUGGUCCUUUCAUGCGUGUGUUGAAAAGUUUCGAUCCUUUCUGGCUUCAAAAUCCCGAUGCUUCUUCAGAGACAUUGUGUGCGGUUCUAUGAGUUAUUCCUCCAUUUCUAUGGUCGGUGAAUUCAUGUCGUCAUGCAAGAAUUAUAAUUGUGUGAAGGCUCGAGGUUAUGAAAUCUGGUUGCAGGUUUUGCCUCGUCCUGUUCGCAGCAGGUGACUUGAGAAGAGAUUGGAAAAUAUGGGAAAGGAAAUUGAAGGUGAAGGCGUGUUGUCGAUUGAAAAUCGAUUUUGCAGGGCCUUGAUAUGGUAGAAUAGGUGGUUCUGUCGGCUUGGUUAAGGAUGUAGAGGUUGAAGAAGAAGAAGGUUUUUUGGAAGGUGGUUUUGAGAGCUUCGCACCGAUUCUACAGAAGGCGAAUGAAGGUUCAACAGUUGGAUCUAAUCGUGAAAAAAAUCCCCCCCAAGGUUAUAUGUAGCCUACUUGUGCCAACAUCUUGACUAGAAUCAUUACCAUAUGAAAUGCAAAGUCCCCAUCAGGUUGGGUUUUAUGUUGAACUGGGAGAGUUUGGCGUGCUACCAUUGUGGAGUGGAUUUGGAAAUGACUUUCGGUUGGGUGAAUGCGGCAUGAAGGAUGACCAAGAUCCUACUAAUUGACCUUUCAAAUGGCGAGUCCAUUAGCUGGUAGAAAUGUGCAUUGUAUUAGCAUAGUUUUCGAUGUGUAGCCUUCCGUACUUGUGUAUAACCUUCCAUACUGAUGUAAUGAGCCAAUGCUAUUUUGAUUUGGGAUGUAAUAUUUAUUCAACUACAAAGGUUUCAGAAUUUAUGUCGUGCCUACGUGAGCAUGUAUGAAAGAGGAUACGGAAUUGGGAUUGAAAUGUGUAUUGAAUGGUUGUAUUUGUGUUGUGGUAAUUUGAAAUGGUGCAAUUUGGAAUUUA